AGAGUUUGAUCCUGGCUCAGGACGAACGCUGGCGGCGUGCCUAAUACAUGCAAGUCGAGCGAUGAUUAGAGAUAGCUUGCUAUCCUUAUGAAGAGCGGCGAACGGGUGAGUAACGCGUGGGAAAUCUGCCGAGUAGCGGGGGACAACGUUUGGAAACGAACGCUAAUACCGCAUAACAAUGAGGAUCGCAUGAUUCUUAUUUAAAAGAAGCAAUUGCUUCACUACUUGAUGAUCCCGCGUUGUAUUAGCUAGUUGGUAGUGUAAAGGACUACCAAGGCGAUGAUACAUAGCCGACCUGAGAGGGUGAUCGGCCACACUGGGACUGAGACACGGCCCAGACUCCUACGGGAGGCAGCAGUAGGGAAUCUUCGGCAAUGGGGGCAACCCUGACCGAGCAACGCCGCGUGAGUGAAGAAGGUUUUCGGAUCGUAAAACUCUGUUGUUAGAGAAGAACGUUAAGUAGAGUGGAAAGUUACUUAAGUGACGGUAUCUAACCAGAAAGGGGCGGCUAACUACGUGCCAGCAGCCGCGGUAAUACGUAGGUCCCAAGCGUUGUCCGGAUUUAUUGCGCGUAAAGCGAGCGCAGGUGGUUUCUUAAGUCUGAUGUAAAAGGCAGUGGCUCAACCAUUGUGUGCAUUGGAAACUGGGAGACUUGAGUGCAGGAGAGGAGAGUGGAAUUCCAUGGUGUAGCGGUGAAAUGCGUAGAUAUUAUGGGAGGAACACCGGGAGGCGAAAGCGGCUCUCUGGGCCUGUAACUGACACUGAGCUCGAAGCGUGGGGGAGCAAACAGGAUUAGAUACCCUGGUAGUCCACGCGUAAACGAUGAGUGCUAGCCUUGUAGGGAAGCUAUAGGUUCUCUGUAGCGCAGCUUACGCAAUAGUCAUCGACUGGGGAGUACGACGCAAGGAUGAACUUCAA
rnacentral:rRNA from 1 species